GACGAAAGCUGGCGGCGUGCCUAAUACAUGCAAGUCGAGCGAAGCGGCGGAUGGGUGAGUAACGCGUGGGUAACCUGCCCUUAUGUCUGGGAUACCAUUUGGAAACAGAUGCUAAUACCGGAUACUAAAGGAUGGACCUGCGAUGCAUUAGCUAGUUGGUAAGGUAACGGCUUACCAAGGCGAUGAUGCAUAGCCGAGUUGAGAGACUGAUCGUCCACAUUGGGACUGAGACACGGCCCAAACUCCUACGGGAGGCAGCAGUAGGGAAGCUUCCACAAUGGACGAAAGUCUGAUGCAGCCAUGCCGCGUGUAUGAAGAAGGCCUGCGGGUUGUAAAGCUCUGUUGUUGGUGAAGCGGUAAUCAACCAGAAAGUCACGGCUAACUACGUGCCAGCAGCCGCGGUAAUUC
rnacentral:rRNA from 1 species